rnacentral:rRNA from 1 species
UUCCGGUUGAUCCUGCCGGAGGCCACUGCUAUUGGGAUCCGACUAAGCCAUGCGAGUCGAGAGGGUUCGGCCCUCGGCAGACUGCUCAGUAACACGUGGAUAAUCUACCCUUAGGUGGAGGAUACUCUCGGGAAACUGAGAAUAAUACUCCAUAGAUCCAGGAUGCUGGAAUGCACCUAGAUUAAAAGUUCCGGCGCCUAAGGAUGAGUCUGCGGACUAUCAGGUAGUAGUCAGGGUAAAGACCUGACUAGCCUACGACGGAUACGGGUUGUGAGAGCAAUAGCCCGGAGACGAUAUCUGAGACACGAUAUCGGGCCCUACGGGGCGCAGCAGGCGCGAAAUCUUCACAAUGUGCGAAAGCACGAUGAGGGGAUCCCAAGUGUUGGUUCGUAAGAAUCAUCUGUUUCUUUGUCUAAAAAACAGAGAGAGUAAGAGCUGGGUAAGACGGGUGCCAGCCGCCGCGGUAAUACCUGCAGCUCAAGUGGUGGCCGCUAUUAUUGGGCCUAAAACGUCCGUAGCCGGUUUAGUAAAUGCUUGGGUAAAUUGUGUAGCUCAACUAUACGAAUACCGAGUAGACUGCUGAACUUGGGACCGGGAGAGGCUAGAGGUACUCCUAGGGUAGGGGUGAAAUUCUGUAAUCCUAGGGGGACCACCAGUGGCGAAGGCGUCUAGCUAGAACGGGUCUGACGGUGAGGGACGAAGCCCUGGGGCGCAAACCGGAUUAGAUACCCGGGUAGUCCAGGGUGUAAACGCUGCUCGCUUGAUGUUAGUUGGGCUCCGAGCCCAACUAGUGUCGGAGAGAAGUUGUUAAGCGAGCUGCCUGGGAAGUACGGUCGCAAGGCUGAAACUUAAAGGAAUUGGCGGGGGAGCACAGCAACGGGUGGAGCGUGCGGUUUAAUUGGAAGUCAACGCCGGGA